rnacentral:rRNA from 16 species
GUAAGUUCCGACCUGCACGAAUGGUGCAACGAUCUGGACACUGUCUCAGCCAUGAGCUCGGUGAAAUUGUAGUAUCGGUGAAGAUGCCGAUUACCCGCAGCGGGACGAAAAGACCCCGUGAACCUUUACUAUAGCUUCACAGUGAACUUUGAGCAUGUUUGUGUAGGAUAGCUGGGAGGCUUUGAAACCAGGACGCCAGUUCUGGUGGAGCCAACCUUGAAAUACCAGCCUGACAUGUUUGAGGUUCUAACUUGGUCCCCUUAUCGGGGAUGAGGACACUGUGUGGUGGGUAGUUUGACUGGGGCGGUCGCCUCCUAAAGAGUAACGGAGGCGCGCGAUGGUAGGCUCAGGCCGGUUGGAAACCGGCUGCGAGAGUGCAAUGGCAUAAGCCUGCCUGACUGCGAGACUGACGAGUCGAGCAGAGACGAAAGUCGGUCAUAGUGAUCCGGUGGUCCCUCGUGGAAGGGCCAUCGCUCAACGGAUAAAAGGUACGCCGGGGAUAACAGGCUGAUGAUUCCCAAGAGCUCAUAUCGACGGAAUCGUUUGGCACCUCGAUGUCGGCUC